rnacentral:rRNA from 1 species
GAUCAUUAACGAAUCGUCGACACGAGUUGUUGCUGGCCCUCAAACGGGGGCAUGUGCACGCUCUGUUUGCAUCCACUCACACCUGUGCACCCCUGCGGUUCUACGGUCUGGGAGACUCUGUCUUCCUUCUGUGGUUCUGCGUCUUUACACACACACUGUAACCUGGUCUUAUGGAAUGUAUGCAGCGUUUAACGCAAUAUAAUACAACUUUCAGCAACGGAUCUCUUGGCUCUCGCAUCGAUGAAGAACGCAGCGAAAUGCGAUAAGUAAUGUGAAUUGCAGAAUUCAGUGAAUCAUCGAAUCUUUGAACGCACCUUGCGCCCUUUGGCUAUUCCGAAGGGCAUGCCUGUUUGAGUAUCGUGAACACCUCAACUCUCAUGGUUUACCAUGGCGAGAUUGGACUCUGGAGGUUUUGCUGGCCCUCGGUCGGCUCCUCUCAAAUGAAUUAGCUUACCAGUUUAUGGUUGCGCCACAGGUGUGAUAACUAUCUGCUCUUGUGGUCGUACACCGGAUAACCUUCAAUGCUGGAGGUUUGCUGGGGCUCACAAAUGUCUCUCCUUGUGAAGACAGCCUUUUGAACGUUUGAUCUCAAAUCAGGUAGGACUACCCGCUGAACUUAAGCAUAUCAAUAA